rnacentral:lncRNA from 1 species
GUAUAAUCCAGAUUUUUUUCACAUAACAACAGGAAAUUCUUUCCCUUAUUUGUUACCCCUGUGUAUGUUCAUUCUUCCUUCCUUAAUUCUGUGAACACAAAAUCCAGAGUAUUACAUAUUUAUAUGAAUUCUUCCUUCCUUAAUUCUAUGAAUUCUUAUGCUUGGUUACUUAUGAGUUUGUCAACUAAGAAUCACAAUAAUGAAUAUUUUUAGUUUCUAGCAACAGCCAUCUAACAACUGAUAAUAAUUGCUUAUAUUAGUGAUUUGGUAUAGAUAGUGAGAAAUGAAGUUAAAACUGAACAAUAAUGUGUUUCACUAAGAAAAGUGAAUUCCUUGAACACAAAUUAGUAUAAUGUAGGAAUUUGUUGGUUCAUAUUUUUUAUAUGCAGAAAAUGUGAUAACUAAAGGGGGCAUUAUUUGGAGUUUAAAUUGAUAUCAAUAUACUCAAAUGAUAAAUAAAAUAACUAUAUAAUACAGACCCAAUAUUCUUCAUCACAAGCAUUAAUAAACUACCUUCCUAAGCUUCAGUUGUUUCAAUUACUUUUUCAACUUCUGCAAUGGUGCUUCUAGCUUCAUCAAUUUCAGGACUUUCCUUCUCAUCAGACUCCUCCAGCUCAGCCUGAAAGCAUUAGAAACACUCUAGAUAUUAUUGAAGCAUGAUCUACUGAUUCAAUUUCAAGAUCAUUAAUAGGUACCAAUGUAACAUAAUGACACUAAUAGGAUCAGGAUCAGUGACUAACCAUAUUCCUAUCAAAAUCUCUUGUUUAUGAUAUACAAGAUCAAUAAGGAAUCAUAAUCCUAGACUCAGCUAGCACAUUUUCCUGUUCAAUCAGGUUAACAAAGUUUACAAUCAUUUCUGUUUGGUGAAAAGGAAUCUGCAAUAGUAGAAUACACUAUCAUAUCUUACCAUAAUGAUCAAUAAGUAAUGCAAGACAUAUCUAAAGAAUUAAGAUGCCAACUCCAUAGUAGCUCUUUGUACCCUUCAAACAAAUAAGGACUUCAAUCUAUACCUUUGGGGAGAAAUGCUAGUAUCGAAAGUUGCAUUUUUGAACCAAAAUAAUUGAAAAGUAAAACAUAAGUUCACUACAAUGCUUCAUUAAUUGUGAAUGAAAAAAUAGGAAAAUAAGAAGAGAAAGAAAUGGUUUACAGUUUAAAUAGCUGCUUCUGAAUGCAGCACCGAAGCAGAUCCACGACGAAGAAGAUGAUCAAGUUUCAACUAAACCUUUACUCUCACCCAAAAACGCACCGUUUUGUUCUUUUUUGAUAAGGG